CAUAUUUUUAUUCAGUUGUCUGCCUUCCUCCAGAUUGAGAAGCCAGUUAAUCCAUCUUUAUCUGCUUAUAUUUAGUUUUUUUUUUUAAAUCUCAUUGAUGAGAAUAGAUUUCGAAAACGUUUUUAUCAUCAAUUCAAGGGUAUAAUGGGUCAAACACCAGCCUCUUUGGACCAAGAGAAGCCCCAGCAUCAUCAACGUUUGUCUCCGAAGCCGUUAGCUUGAAGAAUGUUCUUCUGAAGAUCUUUAACAAUGCAUAACUUUGACUACAUCACACACCCCCGGCCUCCAUUAACGGCUGCCAGAACCAUCCAUAUUCAUAGUGGAAUGGGCAGGAAGACCGGCUUUUCUGCUCUGACAAACCCAAAGUAGCCAAGGAUCGACUUGAUUCGAAUGAACUCGGAGGAGAAGGGAUCAGGGGAUCAGUGGCAGAAGGAUCUUGGCUCUCCUAUUCUGCCUUUUCCCCCCACUGGAGGCAAACAAUUGUCAGCUUCGCCCGGGACGCCGCCGUGCAUAAUGGCCUUGCGACGCGGAUCGCCCCGUCUGUAGAAGUAUCAUUCAUUCAUCCGUCUGGAGGAAGAGGAGGGCGAGGGAGAAGAGGAGGAGGAGGAGGCGUAGGAGGAGGGAGCAAAUAGAACCGUCUCCUCGCUGAUGGCUUGAAAGUGUCCCCGGCUAUCAACGCGCCGCGGCUUGACAAGUGCAAAACCCCGGGGGCCUGUAUUUGGAAUAAGAAAAGCAUUGCUGCUUUGCGACUGGACGGACGAAAGAAAGGACUCCUCUGACAUUUCCUGUGGAUGUUUUAAUUCGGACGCCUCGUUACCGAGGCUUUGCAGUCAACUGCCUGGGCAUAUACUGAGCUGUCUAAAGAGUGGCAAGCGGCCACGAGAACGGAGGACGGAGGACAGAGCUGUGUUGGGGAUUCAAUCAAGACGGCGGUCGAGGAAGCAUCAUUUGUUAAACCGAUAAUACUGGGGAUUGUGUUUGGUUUGCAC
ensembl:lncRNA